UUUUAGGAUUUAAUUGUACUUUUCAAAAAUUUUAGGAUUCAAUUACAUUUUCAUGACAAGUUUUAGAAUUUUUAAUGCAUUUAUCCCUUAAAAUUAAUUACACCCUUAUCACGAAAACAAUUAAUUUUUGCUUUGAGUAAGCGUGUACGUCCCAGGCAACCAUGCAACUAGGAGAAAAUUAGCUUGCAUUGGAUAAAUGCGAUGAUCCAAAUCUCUCGGUGCUUGGAAUUAAGGAACACACCUUUUUACUUCUUGGAAGAAUUCAUCCUUCGAAAUUCUCGCAGGGGUUUGAAUUGGAUGGCCCUGCUUUUUCUCACAAGUCUGUCCACCAAAUGUUUGAUAAGAUGUCAAGCGGAGACCAAAACGAAGUUACCAAACGGAAGGCACUGUAAAUUCACACAAAAGUACGAGCGACUCAAACAUGCGUCUUGGAAUUGUUUUUUUUUUUCCUUUUCGACUAUGGUGUGUUCAUCCAGUAGAUUGGUGCUGGUAAAAGUAGCAUUUUCUCUUCAUGGGAUCCAAAUCAACUCCACCUAAUAGCUGGUAACGCAUUCGUGAAUACUCUAGUGUUUCUUAAAGAUGCAUCAGUGUGACCCCGUUUUUAAAGUUUCAUGUCGCUAGUGAUUGAUGAUUUAUUGUGACAAUAUGCUUGUAUUUUAGUAGCUCAGUUGUAAUCAAUGUCCUUUUCCAUUUUCUGAUUUGUUGUUGGGCAACUCGGACUUGGUCUAGCUCUCUACACAGUACAAGGGCAAGAGCUUUAUUGAAGACUAAAGCCAAAGUAUAUAUUAAGUUUGGUAGAGAGAGAAUCCCCUUAGUAGCUUAUUUGAUGAAUAUCCAAUCUCAUAAAACACAAAUUUUUUUAAAAAAAGAACUAGUAAGUUUCAGUAUGUGACCUCAAUUACUUAUUUAGAACCAUUUUAGAUGAAUUUCGACCCAAUUUCCUAGGAAGAAACGAUUGAUUGGACUUUUCAAUAAUGUUAUAAAGUAUAGAUGUUCAGUUUCCUAUUGAUCAACUAAAAAUAUGUAACCAAUUGAUCUUGAUUGUUUCG
rnacentral:lncRNA from 1 species